rnacentral:misc_RNA from 1 species
GAAAUGCGAUAAGUAAUGCGAAUUGCAGAAUUUCCGUGAGUCAUCGAAUCUUUGAACGCACAUUGCGCCCAUUGGUAUUCCGAUGGGCAUGCCUGUUCGAGCGUCAUUAUCUUCCCUCAAACCUCGGGUUUGGUGUUGGGCCGUGCUGGUUCCGUCGUGACCAACUGGCCUCAAAGACAAUGGCGGCGUCGACCCGAUGAGCCCGAGCGUAUGGGGACUUUUGUCACACGUUUGCGGUGCGGACCGGCGCCUGCUUGACUUUUCUGAUUAUCCAGGUUGACCUCGGAUCAGGUAGGGAUACCCGCUGAACUUAAGC